GUACUGAUGUCAAUAGCACAUAUACUAAAAUUGGAAUGAUACAGAGAAGGUUAGCAUGGCACCUGCUCAAAGAUGACACGCAGAUUAGUGAAGUAUAUAUAAUCUAG